UACAGAGACCUCAAGCGUUAUCCGGAUUUAUUGGGCGUAAAGGGUGCGUAGGCGGAUAUGAUAGUCAGAUGUCAAAUCACGAAGCUCAACUUCGUGGCUGCAUUUGAAACGUCAUAUCUGGAGACAGGCAGAGGUCAGUGGAACUCAUGGUGUAGCAGUGAAAUGCGUUGAUAUCAUGGGGAACACCAAAGGCGAAGGCAUCUGACUGGGCCUGUUCUGACGCUGAGGCACGAAAGCGUGGGUAGCGAAGGGG
rnacentral:rRNA from 1 species